CGGGGAGGUAGUGACGAAAAAUAACGAUACGGGACUCAUCCGAGGCCCCGUAAUCGGAAUGAGUACACUUUAAAUCCUUUAACGAGGACCAAUUGGAGGGCAAGUCUGGUGCCAGCAGCCGCGGUAAUUCCAGCUCCAAUAGCGUAUAUUAAAGUUGUUGCGGUUAAAAAGCUCGUAGUUGAAUCUGUGUGUCACAGUGUCGGUUCACCGCUCGCGGUGUUUAACUGGCAUUAUGUGGUACGUCCUACCGGUGGGCUUAGCUCCUCGCGGGCGGUCCAACUAAUCUCCCAUCGCGGUGCUCUUCACUGAGUGUCGAGGUGGGCCGGUACGUUUACUUUGAACAAAUUAGAGUGCUCAAAGCAGGCCACCUUCGCCUGAAUACUGCGUGCAUGGAAUAAUGGAAUAGGACCUCGGUUCUAUUUUGUUGGUUUUCGGAGCCCCGAGGUAAUGAUUAAUAGGGACAGAUGGGGGCAUUCGUAUUGCGACGUUAGAGGUGAAAUUCUUGGAUCGUCGCAAGACGGACUAAAGCGAAAGCAUUUGCCAAAAAUGUUUUCAUUAAUCAAGAACGAAAGUUAGAGGUUCGAAGGCGAUCAGAUACCGCCCUAGUUCUAACCAUAAACGAUGCCAGCCAGCGAUCCGCCGAAGUUCCUCCGAUGACUCGGCGGGCAGCUUCCGGGAAACCAAAGCUUUUGGGUUCCGGGGGAAGUAUGGUUGCAAAGCUGAAACUUAAAGGAAUUGACGGAAGGGCACCACCAGGAGUGGAGCCUGCGGCUUAAUUUGACUC
rnacentral:rRNA from 1 species